CAUGUUGUCGUUGCUGUCGUUUGUAGGCAUCUUAGGUAUUGAGGAUCUGAGGGUAUUGAGGCAUCUUGAGGGGUAUUGAGGCAUCUGAGGGUCUUGACGCGCAUCUGAGGUAUUGAGGCAUCUGAGGGUAUUGAGGCAUCUGAGGG